UUAACACAGGUGGAAUGAAUUAACGGGUAUUAAUUAGUUAAUGCUUGUUGUGCGUUUCUGAUGUGAAAGCGGCUGGAUCUGAUGUAAGUUUUGAAAGCGUGUGAUGACCAACGACCUAGGAUUUGAAUUUGCUCCUGUGAAAGACCGUUUUGUGCGGCUGUGGUUGCUGCUCCGAUGCGGAAAGAAUGACUUGAGAAUUGAUUUGCUGCGAUACCAGACUGGGGUGGAUUUUUGUGUUGAAGUUGGACGUGACUGUUAAUUCGGAGCAGCGAAGAAAACCGAAGAAAGCCAGGAUGAACAUUGCUUCUAGUGUGCGAGCGGUGUUGAUAGAAUGGUAGCCGAGACGGAGUGUGGAGAUGCAUUUGGGAAGCUGCGACGACGAUCGGAUAGAGCUCGAAAAGGGCUGAGGACUGCGGUAAGACUAGAAGCUGGGAUGGCCAGGGGGACGCGAACCAGCGUCCUUGGUAAAAUCCCCCAAAACCAAUUGAGGGGGCUGCGUCGGUAAAUAGUUUAAUGUCAAGGGGGGAAGAAAUGCAAUUGUCAUAGAAAAAAGUUAAGCCGUUCCACUGAUUAAGAAAAGUUAUCCAGAGGCUUAGCUCGUUUUUGCAUUCGUAGGAUAAAAUAAUUUCGUCUUCUAGUGCGAGAGCCGAGGAUGCGAGGGCGAGGAGAUGCGCGAUAAAGGGGCGACCUUGUGGAAUUAUGCGCAUAGCAAAAUUUAGAUGGCCAAGUAAAGAGAGAAGUUCGCGUUUGGAACAGUUUGUGCGGCUUAGAAAAUCGGACGCGACCAAAAUGGUUCUGUCGAUUUUCUCCUUGGGCAGUGAAGCCUGGAAUUUUACUGAGUUUAAAUUGAUGCCCAAAAAUUCGAUUGAUGUUGAUGGGCCCAUGGUUUUUUCCUGAGCUAUCGGAAUCCCUAGCUUUGCAAAAACCUGUUGCACUGUAAGGAGAUGCGCUGCGGGGAUAGCGUCAUGAGGUGAGAUAAUUAAGAAAUCAUCUAGCAAAUGAAGGAGAUGGGGAAUUGCGUAAUUAUUGGAUAGAAUCCAGCAUAUUGCUUCAGAUAGCGUGUCGAAUAUUUUUGGGCUGCUUUUGCAACCGAAAGUUAGACGCACGGCGAAAUAGAACUUAUUGCGCCAGCGUAUGCCGAAUAGAUGCCACGAAUCCGGGUGUAUUGGCAUAACUUUGAAAGCUGAUGUGAUGUCUACCUUUGCGAGCCAUGCGCCGCGGCCAACGAUUUUAAUCAUUGUUAUUGCUUGCUCGAUAUCGUGGUAAUGGAGAGAAAAUUCUUCGAGUGGAAUAAGACUAUUGAUGCUCGGAAAUGGAGAGUUGUGAGGCGCAGAGAGAUCGAUUAUCAUGCGCUUUUUUCCUGAAAACUUUCUGGUAGCUAUACCUAUGGGGCUGAUACGAAACGUUUGGAAGGGGGGCGUUUCGAAAGGACCGAUCAUAAACCCUGAUUCGAUUUCCUUUUUUAUUAGCUCGUCUACUACUUCAGGCUCUGCUAGAGCAGAUUGAAGAUUAUCGCAGAUGAUAUUCUGAGUGGGCUGACAUUCUA